rnacentral:tRNA from 1 species
GCCGAAGUGGCGGAAUAGGCAGACGCGACAGUCUCAAAAACUGUUGAAGGGCAACCUUCGUGUCGGUUCGAGCCCGACCUUCGGCACCA